UCCGGCUUGUCGCCGGCGGUCCCUUUAGAGUGCCCAACUAAAUGAUGGCAACUAAAGGAGAGGGUUGCGCUCGUUGCGGCACUUAAGCCAACACCUCACGGCACGAGCUGACGACAGCCAUGCAGCACCUGUGCUAGCCCCAAAAGGACACGGGCUUUCACCCGCUUUAACUAGCAUGUCAAGCCUAGGUAAGGUUCUUCGCGUUGCAUCGAAUUAAGCCAUAUGCUCCACCGCUUGUGCGGGUCCCCGCCAAUUCCUUUGAGUUUCAACCUUGCGGUCGUAGUCCCCAGGCGGAUCACUUAAUGCGUUAGCUGCGGCACCGAGGGAAACCCCCCGACACCUAGUGAUCAUCGUUUAGGGCCGAGACUAC
rnacentral:misc_RNA from 1 species